UCCAAGACAUUUUUUCCUACCUCGGUCAACAACAUGAAUUUUGAGCCCCAAACACGUUAUUUCUGUUGUCUGUGGUGUCUACUAAGGAUCUAAAGUAAUCCUCGGGUGUCAGCAGGAGGUGGUGACCACCUGCAUAAUGGAGCACCCUGGUUCUGUGCCAGCUGCACCUUUGUGCUGCUCUUUGGGGAGCCAAUGCUCAGCAGACACAUGCCUCCAUGUGGUCAGGUGGUGUUGGUGUGAUCUGGGAGGGCACACUCAUGUCAUCAUCUCCUUGUGCCGUCUCCAGGAUCAUGAUGGGAGUUCUCUGUGCCUAUAAAGCAG